GAUGAACGCUGGCGGCGUGCCUAAUACAUGCAAGUCGAGCGAACAGACGAGGAGCUUGCUCCUCUGACGUUAGCGGCGGACGGGUGAGUAACACGUGGAUAACCUACCUAUAAGACUGGGAUAACUUCGGGAAACCGGAGCUAAUACCGGAUAAUAUAUUGAACCGCAUGGUUCAAUAGUGAAAGACGGUUUUGCUGUCACUUAUAGAUGGAUCCGCGCCGCAUUAGCUAGUUGGUAAGGUAACGGCUUACCAAGGCAACGAUGCGUAGCCGACCUGAGAGGGGGAUCGGCCACACGGGAGGGGAAACGGCGACAAGCGGCCUGAGGGAGGCAGCAGUAGGGAACCUGCCGCAGUGGGCGAGAACCUGACAGAACGGCGGGGCGGGAGUGGCAAAGGUCUUGGGAGCGUAAAACUGUUUUAUGGGGGAAAAACAAAUGUGGAAGUAAAUAUGCCGGUCUUGACGGUACCUAAUAAAAAAGCCACGGCUAACUACGUG
rnacentral:rRNA from 1 species